AGGGCACUCUCGCCGACCGCACGUUAUCACCUGCGGGUCCACUCGGGGCGACUACCGUCAACCUGCCUCCACCGUCACCCGCCACCCUCGCCACAAGUGUGAACAUGCGUACAUUCCUCAUUUGGCCACUACUCACCUUUGAGGACUUGCUGGGUUAAUUCUCUGCUGCCACACUAGUGAGGUCUUGCCUGUGCAAAUAAGGAACCAUGUUUACCAAGGAGAUUGCUGAAAGACACAAGCUUCUGGAGAGCCAUGUCCCUGUGGUAAACCAGAGCCUGGUGUUACCAGUGACUCUCCACCUAAGAAAUCCCCUGAGAACCCAGAAACCAAGGAGCCCCAGUUCCCUCCAGAGAAAGACAUGCUUCACCCUUGGAGAAGUUUCAGCUCUGCUUUUGGUGAUCAAUGAAUGCCUCAAGUCCUGCUCAACUCUGUUUGCUCCAUUCUGGCUGCAACUUCGUGUGGGUCUAACAAGUCUAAUUAGGAUUUCAUCUGACAGGCUUCACAAGUCUAUCCUUCAAAAACCCAAAUAA
rnacentral:lncRNA from 1 species